GACUUGGUAGCCUAGUUGGUAAAUGCAGCACUUCUAGUAUAGUGUCUUAGCUUCUGGCUAAGGUCGCUGGUUUGAAUCCUGCCCAAGUUG
rfam:Puccinia sorghi strain RO10H11247 Scaffold_2274, whole genome shotgun sequence.